rnacentral:lncRNA from 1 species
UGCUACGAAGGAGGCCCUCGAGUGGUUAGACGACAACCAAAAUGCCGAGAAAGAGGACUACGAAGAGAAGCUUAAGGAGGUGGAAGCUGUAUGUAACCCAAUCAUCACAGCCGUCUAUCAAAAAUCUGGAGGAGCACCUGGUGGAUCCUCGUCGGAAGAUGACGAUUCCCAUGAUGAACUGUAGGUAACUUUUUAGAGUCCAUUAACUACUGAUGACUAGUGAAGCGAGAAAAACGAAAUGGAGUUUAGAAGAGACGAGUGAUGUAAAUUUUGUCAUUUGGGGGCUGAGUCCCUUGCCUGCCUUCUUUUUCUUAAGAAGGAUUAUUUCUUUUCAAAUUACUUGUAGUUUUUGUUUUACAAGAUUCUCGAUGAUAAUUGACGCUUUGCGUAUGUAAUAUACAUUUUUCUGCCUUGACAAUAUGUUUCCUGCAGUAAAUGAGUUCGUAAAUUACGUUCAACAAACAAUAAUUAGUAAAAAUCUCAUAUAUUGAAUUAAUUGCCUCAAAAUUUUUGUUUGUAAAGCAAUAAUGGAGGCUUUGGGGAGCCAUUUAACUAAUAAAUAUUCUGAAGGGACGCUCAGGUCUCGAUACUCCCUGUAUAGAUGCGAUUGAGAUACUCUAUUGCAAGCAUGCAUUGGCUACUUUUGGGCUUGAUGCCUUGAUCCUGAGAGUUGUAGUGCAAACGUGAGCCAACCAUCAUUUGUUGGAAUCUUGUCGAAAAUUGUGGGUGGAUGAAUUAAAAGAGAGGAAGAUAAUGCUAUAUGUGUGGCUUAUGUGACCGCAUAAGCCUUCAAUGUUCGUGGUUGCAUAUGGUUUUUCAGUGGCCAAAGUGGCGACCGAAGCUAUAAUCAUGAGAUCGCAACGCAUGGUUAUAAAAAAAUGGCUGUUGGCUGGAAAUCUUUUUGAAUUUUUGGUGGUUUUCUUGGUGAAUCCAUGCAAAAAUGUGUUGGUAUUCGUCUCUAAACACAAGAAAAAUAUUCUAUUAUUCAUCCAAAUCUUUGAAGAGAUUAUCACAUAUUCAAAACCAUUUUUCACUUGUUCAUUUGAAGAUCACUUUUACUUUUGGUGAUCUUCUUUAAGGCUUGAUCAAUUCUACGAACUAUUUGCCAUUUAAUUCUUAAGAGCAUUGUGAGAGAAGACAAAUAUCGUUUAAGGACAAUGGUAUAAUCUUCGUGUUCAAGUCUUCUUCAAUAUAUACUUAUCUUCUUCUUUAUUUUUUUGUUCUCCAUUGCUAUAUUUUUAUAGCAUUCUUAAACGGCAUUUGUCAUUUUACUGCAAUGGAAACGGAAUCUAGACUUGCCACAAUCAAGAAGAUGAAUCAAGAUUUAGUGAGUUUGGAUAGAUUUGAUAGAUUCAACUUCAUAAGAUGGCAGAACAAACUCAAAAUUUUUUCUAACGGCAUUAAAAAUCUUCUACAUGCUUGAUAUAAAAUUGGAAUCAAUUCUCGAUGCAACGGACAAAAAUAUUGAUGAAGUUCGUGCCUAAAGAAAGAAAAGGGAAGAGGACGAACUAAUAUGUUGCCAUCACAUCCUAAAUGCUCUAUCGCAUCGAUUAUAUGAUCACUACAUCAACACGACUUCAGCAAAAGAGAUUUGGUAUGCACUUGAAAGCAAAUAUAAAGCCGAGGAGGAAAGUACCAAGAAUUUUUAUUUUCUAAAUAUUUUGAUUUCAAGUUUCUAGAUAAAAUUCAUUUGUUAUCUCGAGUGCAUGAGUUGCAAAUUAUUGUCGACAAAUUGCAAGCGGUGAAAAUUGAACUUUCGGUAAACCUUUCAAGUGGGUGCAAUCAUUGCUAAACUUUCGAGAUCUUGAAAAGGAGGAAGAAGAUUCUUCACAAUUCCAAAGAUUUUUCUUUUGAAGAUAUUUAAAAGUAUCUUCGCAUAGAGAAAGAGUCAAAGGGAAGAGAUAAGACUCAAAGUUCUUAUAAUGGCUCUUCGAAAGCUAAUGCCCUGGACAAUAUGGACAAUUCCAACAAAUAUAAAAAGAAAAGGAAACCUCUUGGUUCAAAAAAGAAUUGAGGGAAGUUCAAAAACAAAUCGAAGGGACCUUGCUAUGUUUAUUGAAAAUCGGGAUACUAUGCAAGAGAUUGUAGGCAUAAGCAAUAACCAAAUAAAGAAGGGCAAGUAAAUUCCAUAGAUGAGAUUAUUACUAUGAUGAGCCAAAUCAAUGUAAUCCAAAGCAAAGUUCCGAACUGAUAGUAUGACAUAUGUGCUAUCGUCCAUGUUUGUUAUAAUAAGUCUAUUUUCAAAACUUAUCAUUGCAUUGAAGAUGGUUAAUAGAUCCAAAUGAAAAAUGAAGGAAGAUCAAAAGUGAUUGGCAAAGGUAAUACGGAAAUCAUUUCCAUUUCGGGAAAGAAGAUCACUUUGACAAAUGUUCUUCAUGUACCAGAAAUGAUUAGAAACCCAGAAGUGGAGUUCUAUUGGAAAAACCAGGAAUUAUAAUUAUUUUUGAAUUUGAAAAACUUGUACUUACCCAUAAUGGACAUUUUGUUUGAAAUGACUAUUCCACUGAAAGAAUGGUCAAACUUUGUACUUUUGAGGAUAACUCUAAUAAAAAUAAAUUAUUUGCCUAUGUUACCGAUUCAUUUAAUUUAUGACAUGGUAGAUUUAGCAUAUAUAGGAGUUAGCACUACGAAAAGAAUGAUUAAAUGCAGAAUGAUACAAUGUGAAAUUGAUAACUUGGAAAAAUGUGAAAUAUGUAUUAAAUUGAAGACGAUUAAAAAGCCAUUUUAUAGUGUAUUAAGAUCAACAAACUUACUUUUACUUGUUCAUUCCGACAUAUGUGAAUUGAAUGUCAUGCCAACAAGAAGUGGUAAUAGAUAUUUCAUUACUUUCAUAAAUGAUGCUCUAGGUAUACUUAUGUAUAUUUGUUAAAGCAUAAAGAUGAAGUCUUUAUUGCCUCUAAAACAUAUAAAAUUGAAGUUGAAAAUCAAUUAAGAAGGAAAUUAAAAACUCUAAGAAGUGAUAUAGGUGAAGAAUAUUUUUCUAAUGAAUUCAAUAAGUUUUGUGAAUAAAAUGAAAUAAUACAUCAAUGUUCUGUAUCACGAACACCGAAAUAAAAUGGUUUAGCAGAAAGAAAGAAUAGGACAUGCUUAGAGAUGAUAAAUGCCAUGUUAAUAAAUUUUGAAUUACCAUUCAUAAAUGGAAGAAGCCUUACUUAGUGCUUGUCAUAUGGUAAAUAGGAUUCCUAUGAAAAAGAAUAAGAUUUCCCCACAUGAAAUAUGGAAAGAUAGGAAGCCAAAUAUUAAUUAUUUGAAGGUAUGUGGGUGUCUUGCUUAUUAUAAAAAGAGGAAUCCUAAGAGAACUAAAUUAGGUCCUAGAGGUAUUAAAUGUGCAUUUGUAGGAUAAGUUCUAAAUAGCAAGGCCUAUAGGUUAUUAAACCUUGAGCUAGCUGUCAUAAUAGAAUCAAGUGAUGUGAAAUUUUUCGAGAAUGUAUUAGUGACAAGAAAAUCUCAUAAUAAUGAAGACCUUCUGAAUUCUAGAGAACCACAAGCAGAGACAUUUAUAAGAGAUGUUGAAAGUGAAUCUCGAAAUAGUAAUAGAACUAGAAAAGAAAAAAGUCUAGGCUCAAAUGAAAUAGAUUCCCAACUUAUUUCUUUCCAUUUAGUAGCGGGAGAUAGUAAGGACGUUGUAAGAACAACUCCUUUUGUUCUUCAAGUGGAGAGUGAUCCUUAAACAUAUAAGGAAACAAUGUCUUCUAGAGAUUGUAUAUUCUGGAAAGAGGCGAUAAAUAAUGAAAUGGAUUCUAUUAUUUCAAAUAAUACUUGGGAAAUAGUUGAUCUACAGAAGGGUUUUAAAGCCAUUGGUUGCAAAUAUGUGUUUAGAAAGAAAUACAAUUUCGAUGAAAUACUUAAUACCUACAAAGCUAGAUUAGUAGUUAAAAGGUAUCGUCAAAAGGAAGGAAUAUAUUACUUUGACAUAUAUGCACCGUGGCUAGGAUAACCUCAAUAAGUAUAUUGUUUGCACUGACGUCAAUUUAUGAUUUACAUGUUCACCAAAUGGAUCUCAAGACGUCAUUCUUAAAUAGAGAUCUCGAAAAGGAGGUCUAUAUAAAACAAUCAAAAGCGUUUGUUGUACCGAAAAAUGAACAUAAAGUGCGCAAACUAAUGAAAAAGUGGCAUGUAAAAUUUGACUCUAAAAUAAUUUCGAAUGGUUUUAAUCACAAUUCAAUAGAUAAAUGUCUUUAUGCUAAAGUAAGUGACAGUAUAAUUACAUUAAUAUGUCUGUAUGUAGAUGAUAUAUGAAUCAUCAACUACAAUAUAGAUGGAAUUAAAGAAAUAAGAGGUUUCUGUCCUCUAUGUUCAAAAUGAAAGAUUUUGGACAAGUGAAUACUAUAUUUGGUAUCAAAGUUAAAAAUGAUAGUGGGGAUUUUACAUUGAGCCAAUUACAUUAUCUUGAAAAUGUGAUAAAUUCAAUCACUUGAACAUCAAAGAGGCUAAUACCCAUUUGGAUCUAAGUAUCAAGCUGAUAAAAAAUGAUGGAAGCCAAUAGUUCAAAUUGAAUACACAAGUUUUAUGUACGCGGCACCAUGGACAAGGUCGGAUUUUACAUUUGUUGUGAGUAAAGUAAGUAGGUUUAUUAGCAAUUUUCAAGUUUCUUACAUUAGAAUGCCAUAAGUAGGGUUCUUGGCUACUUAAAGAAAACCAAAAAACAUUGGACUAUAAUAUACACAGUUCCUUACUAUUUUGGAAGGAUAUAUUGAUGCUAGUUAGAUAUCGAGUACGGGAGAAACAAGUCCACUUCAGGUUGGAUAUUUACUUUUGGAGGUUGAGCAGUUUUUUGGAAGUCUAGGAAACAAACAUGCAUUACUCGUUCACCAAUGAAGUCAAAGUUUGUAAUGUUGGUUGAAACUGGAAAAGAAGUUGAGUGGCAUAAAGAUUUGUUGUAUGAAAUACCUUUAAAUAUAAAGGAUAUUUCUUCAACACCUAUCUUGUAUGAUAGUCAAGCUACUCUAGCUCGAGCCUAUAGUGAAGUAUAUAAUUGAAAGUCUAGACAUUUGAUAUGAGUCUAAUACAUAAGUAUAUAAGAAAAUUAAUCAAGCAUUAAAUAAUUUCUCUUGUACUUAUUAAGUCUAGUGAUAACUUAACUGAUUAGUUUACUAAACUUCCUACAAGAGAGUUAGUAAGAUCGACAUCAAAUAGGACAAGAUUGAAACUCCUGAAUUAAUUUCACUAAUAAUAGCAACCCUACCAAAGGUAUACUACAUAAGUAUAUUUAGGUUGAAAGGGUAAUAACAAGUUAUUCGAUAAGUGGAUAGAUUUCGACACUAUUAAACUAGUAAACCCUAUCCUUAAUAAAUAGUGUUGGUUGUUAUUCUUGGAGGGAUGAGUUAUAACAAAACUCUUAAUGAAGUUCAGUACGGGGUAUAAGUAUAUCUCUAAAAGUAACAAACAUACUGGAAGAACUUCACCUAUAUGAACUUCGAGGUGGUGCCGCCUCAUUAAAGAGUUAAAGUUUUUCUUGCUUUAAAAGUUUAAUGAAAAAUGAUAAGUGUAAGGCCAUAUUAGUACUAAACAAGUUAGAGGAACUUGUGAAAAUUUAAUACUUGUGUGUGUGUGUGAUUUCAUCGGUAUUGUAACAAGAAAUAAUUGGUUCAAAGCUUUUUAACUAUCCGGAAUUUCGAUAAUGCUUUAUGAAAAUUACAUAUAGUUAGACUCAAAUCGAAAGAUAUCUAAUGAAUGUAUUUCAAUGAUACUUUAGAUACCAUCUAAACUUGAUAUUUACCUAAUUCCUAUAAGUUUAAGAGCAUUUUAAUGUGUAUUUUGCUGUAUAUAUGUUGAUGAAAUUGAUGGGAAUGUGAUUGAAAAUAAGUAUGAAAAAUAUAUUAAAGUAAAGUAAAGUAAAGGGAAUCAAGUAGGUGCUUCCCAAGAGCUCUGUUAUCUUAGCUUAAUCAGCUUAAUGAAGUAUUCGAUAAUUCUAUGAUCAAAAUCCUCUCCUGCACAACAAAUGAACUUUCAGCAUCAUUAAACCCAACAAUAACUCACAAAAUUAUCGUUCUAAGCCUUCCUUUUUGAAGUGCAUAAUAAUAUAUGUUGGACAAUUUUUAAAGAUAAAAUCGAAACUUAAUAUGUUAUCAAUACAUAUUUCAGAUUGCCGAAUUGAUCAUACAUCAAAUUGAUUUCUCAGCUAUAUCAUAAAAGGACAAUGUGUUCAAGGGGUGAGUAUUUGAAUAUAUUACGUUUCGAACUUUUGACCUAUAACUGCAUGACACACUGCCACUUGCUACAGAAAUAUAUCAGUCAUUUUCGAAAUAUUGAUUUUCUAAUAAAUGCAAAGAUGGAUAUAUUAGCAAGAAAUAUCUGUACGUCCAAGAUGGGUGUUUCCAUUCGUGGAAAGAACCUCAAAGACACCAUUGUCAAUGGUCAAGAAUUUAUAUUUAUUCCUCAAUUUGGAAGCUGGUUCUUUAUCUUCAAUUGGAAAGUUUGUUCAUGCUAGUAUGCCCUGAAUUUGAUAAAAGUUACUACUUCCCAAGAUUUAAAAGAGAAAAUAUUGUGCUGGAAAGGCUCAACUAAAUGAUGCAAUUUUAGGCAGUGUUGUGCAACUUAUGAUGGAAACAUACUGCCCUUUUUAAUAAUUAACAGCUUCCGCUUUUAUAUGAGCCAGUUAACGUUGUUGCGACCUGUUUAUUAAAAAAUGUACACGUGUCUCACUUUCAUGGGAAAAAAACACAUUGGGGCACUGAAUAUAGGAUUUAUACGAAUACGUAUGGCCAUUUUCUAACCACUUGAGCUUUUAGAUGAAAUGGUUAACAAACCAAAAACAAACUUUAGAAGAUGGAAUUAACCAAGUGGUCUCACUGUCUAAAUGCCAACUGGAAAGAUUGAUAUGUAUGGUUGUCAACAAGUAAUUGUUAUGUUAUAACGCUACUGCUUCUCAAUACGUCCUUGGCUUAUGGUUUGAUUGCUUUGGCUUCGGUGUUUGAAUUGUUAUUAAUUCGCCAAAUGAUUUCAUGAGUACUAAAUUGACUAACCUUGUCUUGUCAAACAGGUUGUCUAUCAGCAAUUUCUAUUGCGAAGGAGGAGGCCACCAAAUUGGGAACAGUCAUUGGUAUAGACCUUGGUACUACCUAUUCCUAUGUUGGUGUUUACAAGAAUGGACAUGUAGAAAUCAUAGCUAAUGACCAAGGAAAUCGAAUUACCCCAUCAUGGGUUGCAUUCACUGACACUGAAAGAUUGAUCGGUGAGGCUGCAAAGAACCAGGCAGCUGUCAACCCUGAGAGGACUGUCUUUGAUGUUAAAAGACUCAUUGGAAGAAAGUAAUUCCUUUUUGCUCAAUUUAUAACAGUAUUUUCUUCUACAUUUUGAUGAAUAAAUACUGAUUAAAGUUUUGAAUUGUUUCUUGACAGGUUCGAGGAUAAGGAAGUUCAGAGGGAUAUGAAGCUUGUUCCUUACAAAAUAGUGAAUAAAGAUGGAAAGCCUUACAUCCAAGUCAAAAUUAGGGAUGGUGAGACCAAAGUCUUCAGCCCUGAGGAAAUCAGUGCCAUGAUUUUAGGCAAGAUGAAAGAAACAGCAGAAGCAUUCCUUGGGAAGACAAUUAAGGAUGCUGUGGUAACAGUUCCUGGUAAGCUGUCUUUAACUUGUCUUUUAUUGAAACAUUAACUGCAAUGACAUUUUGAGUAUUUGGUCAUACUGACCAUUUAUUUGUGGUUGACUGGCAGCAUAUUUCAAUGAUGCCCAGAGGCAAGCUACCAAGGACGCUGGUGUAAUUGCUGGCUUGAAUGUGGCAAGAAUUAUCAAUGAACCAACAGCAGCAGCAAUUGCCUAUGGUUUGGACAAGAAAGGUGGUGAGAAGAACAUCCUUGUCUUUGACCUUGGUGGUGGAACCUUUGAUGUCAGUAUCUUGACCAUUGACAAUGGUGUCUUUGAGGUGCUUGCCACUAAUGGAGAUACCCAUCUUGGAGGUACAGAUCUUUCUUUUUAUCAGCUCUGCUCCAAUAUAUAUAAUAAGUGCAUUUAUUUAGUAAAUCAAUGUUUGGAAACUGAUCUAUCCCACCUGGAAGCGGAAGUGAAUCAUGCAGUUAUAGUAAUGAAAAUUCAAAUAUUUAUACAGACAAUCCUUGAACACAGUUUGUCAAUGAUAUAGCUGAGAACAUCAACUGGAUUAUGAUCCAUUUAGCAAUCUGAAAUAUAUAUUGUUCAGAGACAUCUCAUGAUAAUAUGUUAAGUUUGAUAUCAACAUUUAAAAUUGUACAGUGUAAAUACUGGUUAUUCACUGGACGUGAUUAUUCUGCACUGCAAAGAGGAAAGGGUAGAAUGAUCAUUCUAUGAGUUCUUGUGUUGUACAAUAUAUGAAAGUUUCAUUUGGUGUGCAGGAGAGGAUUUUGAUCACAGAGUUAUGGAAUACUUCAUCAAGUUGAUUAAGAAAAAGCACGGAAAGGACAUCAGUAAAGAUAACAGAGCUCUUGGGAAGCUAAGGAGAGAAUGUGAACGUGCAAAGAGAGCCCUGAGCAGCCAGCACCAAGUCCGUGUUGAAAUUGAAUCACUUUUUGAUGGUAUAGAUUUCUCUGAACCAUUGACCCGUGCCAGAUUUGAGGAGUUGAACAACGACCUCUUCAGGAAGACCAUGGGACCUGUGAAGAAAGCCAUGGAAGAUGCUGGUAUGGAGAAAAACCAGAUUGACGAAAUUGUCCUUGUUGGUGGAAGCACCAGGAUUCCUAAAGUUCAGCAGCUUCUCAAGGAUUAUUUCGAUGGAAAGGAGCCCAACAAGGGUGUGAACCCAGACGAGGCAGUUGCUUACGGUGCUGCUAUCCAAGGAAGUAUUCUGAGUGGAGAGGGUGGUGAAGAAACCAAAGGUACUUAUUGCAUGUGUUGUUAUCUUGUGGACUGAUUCAAUGCUGCUUGUUUUCUUGCUAUUAAUCUUGAUUUAGUGAUGUUUUAGACAGCUUUGUCUGAAUUGAUCACCGAUGUGUGUGCAUUUGUGUGCAGACAUCCUUCUCUUGGACGUUGCACCACUCACCCUUGGUAUUGAAACUGUUGGUGGAGUUAUGACCAAGUUAAUUCCGAGGAAUACUGUUAUCCCAACCAAGAAGUCUCAAGUUUUCACAACUUACCAAGACCAGCAAACUACUGUCUCAAUCCAGGUAACGUGUUCCGAGCCAAAUUAAUUCUUACCCUGUUUGUACUGUUAGGUAAAUGGAUGAUUAUGUCCUCCCUAAAAUGGCAUGCUUGCGCUUUAGCUGAGUGUCCGACAAUUUGAUAACAGGUAUUCGAAGGAGAAAGGAGUCUUACGAAGGACUGCAGGCUGCUCGGAAAGUUUGAUCUGACCGGCAUUCCUCCAGCACCGAGGUUUGUUGCAUUCUUUGGAUAAAUAAUUUGUUAUGACCGAACUUGAUGUUAUAUUUUGUUAUCUGAAGGAUCCUGUGUUCUAUUUGAACAGGGGAACCCCUCAAAUUGAGGUUACAUUCGAAGUUGAUGCCAAUGGUAUCCUGAACGUCAAGGCAGAAGACAAGGGCAGUGGUAAAUCAGAAAAGAUCACCAUCACGAACGAGAAGGGUAGAUUGAGCCAAGAGGAGAUAGAUAGAAUGGUUCGUGAAGCAGAAGAGUUUGCCGAGGAAGACAAGAAGGUGAAGGAGAGAAUCGAUGCUCGUAACAGUCUCGAGACAUACAUAUACAACAUGAAGAACCAAAUCAACGACAAGGACAAGCUUGCCGACAAGCUCGAGUCUGAUGAGAAGGAGAAGAUCGAGACUGCUACGAAGGAGGCCCUCGAGUGGUUAGACGACAACCAAAAUGCCGAGAAAGAGGACUACGAAGAGAAGCUUAAGGAGGUGGAAGCUGUAUGUAACCCAAUCAUCACAGCUGUCUAUCAAAAAUCUGGAGGAGCACCUGGUGGAUCCUCGUCGGAAGAUGAUGAUUCCCAUGAUGAACUGUAGGUAAAUUUUUAGAGUCCAUUAACUACUGAUGACUAGUGAAGCGAGAAAAACGAAAUGGAGUUUAGAAGAGACGAGUGAUGUAAAUUUUGUCAUUUG